GGGUGCGAUCAUACCAGCACUAAUGCACUGGAUCCCAUCAGAACUCUGAAGUAAAACGUGUUUGGGCGAGAGUAGUCUUAGAUGGGUGACCUCUUAGGAAGCCCUCAUGUUGCACCCC
rnacentral:rRNA from 1 species